rnacentral:rRNA from 1 species
AGAGUUUGAUCCUGGCUCAGGAUGAACGCUGGCGGCGUGCCUAAUACAUGCGAGUCGAACGCUUCACUUCGGUGAAGAGUGGCGAACGGGUGAGUAAUACAUAAGUAACCUGGCAUCUACAGGGGGAUAACUGAUGGAAACGUCAGCUAAGACCGCAUAGGUGUAGAGAUCGCAAGAACUCUAUAUGAAAAGUGCUACGGGACUGGUAGAUGAUGGACUUAUGGCGCAUUAGCUUGUUGGUAGGGUAACGGCCUACCAAGGCGACGAUGCGUAGCCGAUCUGAGAGGGUGACCGGCCACACUGGGACUGAGACACGGCCCAGACUCCUACGGGAGGCAGCAGUAGGGAAUUUUCGGCAAUGGGGGAAACCCUGACCGUGCAACGCCGCGUGAAGGAAGAAGUAAUUCGUUAUGUAAACUUCUGUCAUAGAGGAAGAACGGUGGAUAUAGGGAAUGAUAUCCAAGUGACGGUACUCUAUAAGAAAGCCACGGCUAACUACGUGCCAGCAGCCGCGGUAAUACGUAGGUGGCGAGCGUUAUCCGGAAUUAUUGGGCGUAAAGAGGGAGCAGGCGGCACUAAGGGUCUGUGGUGAAAGAUCGAAGCUUAACUUCGGUAAGCCAUGGAAACCGUAGAGCUAGAGUGUGUGAGAGGAUCAUGGAAUUCCAUGUGUAGCGGUGAAAUGCGUAGAUAUAUGGAGGAACACCAGUGGCGAAGGCGACGAUCUGGCGCAUAACUGACGCUCAGUCCCGAAAGCGUGGGGAGCAAAUAGGAUUAGAUACCCUAGUAGUCCACGCCGUAAACGAUGAGUACUAAGUGUUGGGUGUCAAAGCUCAGUGCUGCAGUUAACGCAAUAAGUACUCCGCCUGAGUAGUACGUUCGCAAGAAUGAAACUCAAAGGAAUUGACGGGGGCCCGCACAAGCGGUGGAGCAUGUGGUUUAAUUCAAGCAACGCGAAGAACCUUACCAGGUCUUGACAUCGAUCUAAAGGCUCCAGAGAUGGAGAGAUAGCUAUAGAGAAGACAGGUGGUGCAUGGUUGUCGUCAGCUCGUGUCGUGAGAUGUUGGGUUAAGUCCCGCAACGAGCGCAACCCCUGUUGCCAGUUGCCAGCAUUAAGUUGGGGACUCUGGCGAGACUGCCGGUGACAAGCCGGAGGAAGGCGGGGAUGACGUCAAAUCAUCAUGCCCCUUAUGACCUGGGCUACACACGUGCUACAAUGGACAGAGCAGAGGGAAGCGAAGCCGCGAGGUGGAGCGAAACCCAUAAAACUGUUCUCAGUUCGGACUGCAGUCUGCAACUCGACUGCACGAAGAUGGAAUCGCUAGUAAUCGCGAAUCAGCAUGUCGCGGUGAAUACGUUCUCGGGCCUUGUACACACCGCCCGUCACACCAUGAGAGUCGGUAACACCCGAAGCCGGUGGCCUAACCGCAAGGAAGGAGCUGUCUAAGGUGGGACUGAAGAUUGGGGUGAAGUCGUAACAAGGUA